rnacentral:misc_RNA from 1 species
UCUCCGUUGGUGAACCAGCGGAGGGAUCAUUACCGAGUUUACAACUCCCAAACCCCAUGUGAACCUUACCAAACGUUGCUUCGGCGGGAUGCCCCGGGCGCGGGCCGCAAGGCCUCAGCCCCGGAACCAGGCGCCCGCCGGAGGCCCAAACCAAACUCUUGUUUUUGUAGAAUCUUCUGAGUGGCCUUUUAGGCAAAAAAUGAAUCAAAACUUUCAACAACAGAUCUCUUGGUUCUG